AUUUAUAUUGUCAGAAAACAAUGUAUAUUUUAAAGGAUUAAUAUAUACAGUAUAAUAUACAUAUCAUGUCUCAAACUAUAGUCAGCAUUUAUCCUUUUAAUCAGUCACUGUUUCAUUCUUCAUACACUGAAUGGAAAUAAUGUAAUGUCAUUGGUUGAAUUUCCAUUGGCACACCCCUAGCCAGGGGGGUUAGGAGGGGUUCUUACUAUCCAUCCCUUCAAAACAAAUAAGCACUGUUAAAGUCAAUGUUUUGUAUGAAUUGUAACUGUUAAAGUUGAAUAUGAUUGUAUCAAACCCCAACCCCUUAGAAAUUCCUGGCUACAUGCCUGGUUGGUUAGGGGGUUUGGUGACUUCAUUACCCAGAAUGCUUUAGAUUCUGAAUUGGUACUGUUUUUUAAUAUAGGGAUGCUUAUUAAAAUAUUUAUAAAAUUUUGAAUAAAUAUGGAAUGCACUGUAUUUACAGCCAAUCUAAGUUUUUAAUUCAUAUAAUUAGUAAACCCGAUAAUUUAUACAUGUAUAGGUUUACUAAUAUCAAUUAAAAACUUAGAUUGGCUGUAAAUACAGUGCAUUCCAUAUUUAUUCAUGUGAUUUCCCAGUUUUUGUUGAAAAUGGGAAAUAUUUAUGGGUUUUAAUGAAAUGUUCUUUUCCAGAAAAGGUGCUUCUUUUUGGGUGUUUUCUUUAUCUAAUAAGAAGGUAUAGUCAGCACUAGAUACAUUUGUCAGUAAUGAAUAAGAUUUUCACCUCCCACCCUAAGUGUUAUUAGAUCUUCAAUCCAGUAACUAAUAUCUUGUUUGUCUAAUGUUAUGGUUCCAGUUUUGUCAUAUUGUUGAUUGUUAUUUAGAGUUGUGUUUUUGUCUGUUUUUAUAAUGAGUAGACUUUUUUAAGCCAGAAUUGGAAUAAUCAUGUUAUCGUGAACAUAGUAGUAAAAGUAAAACAUAGAAUCCAUGUUCGACAUGUUAUUCAUAUUAUUUUACAAUAAUAUAAUUUAGGAUGUAACACGUCUUAUGAUUGGUUGACGUUGUUUUGUUUAUCAUAUCAUAGACAUAAUUUUGUCAUGUGACCAUGACGUCAUCAACAUUUUUUCAUGAUUUACGCCGGUUUAAAAUGGAUUUUAAAAAUUAAAUUAUAAGAAAUAACUGUAAUAUUUUGUCAGUCUAUUCGAAAUAACAUAAAAAAUGUGGUGCACACUGUUAAAUAACUCUUGACACGCAUUAUCCAGUGUGCACCACAUUUUUUUAUGUUAUUUCUUCAUAGACAGAAAAAAUAUUACAGUCAUUCCUUAAUUAGAUAUUCUUAAUUUUAACUGAAUGCCUAUGUACAUACAAUAAGUGAUCUUGGAUGACUUCAUAAUUCAUAUUUUUAUGAAAAGUGUGGUUAGUAAUUGUAUUUUCACAUAAGAAAUUAAUAAAAGAAAUUUACGUCAUAUUUUUUAGGACAGUAUCAAAAAAGAAAUAGAAGAAUUAAGAUAAACGUUCCUAAUUUCUAGAUUCUAGAAAUCACAAAAAUAUCUACUUUGAACAUUUUUUUUAUUAAGUUAUCUCCCUUAUUAAAAUCUCUAUUUGGUUCUUUAAUUCUGAUGCAUUAAAAUAUACCGGUUUUAAAAAGGAAAUGUGAAGUUCUAAUCAAAAGACUUUCCUGUAAAAUUACUUUUCCUUAUAAUAUUCAAUGUUAAGAUAUGAUAUUGAGUUUUAAAAUAAGCAGCAUGGUUAUAAAUGGCAACCCGAUAUAUUAUCUUUAGAAGGUCCAGUUUAACUGUGUAGUUUUGCCUUAGAUAACUAGUUCUGUCUUAGCUGACUAGUUCUGCCUCAGCUGACUAGUUCUGCCUUAGUUGACUAGUUCUGUCUUGCAAGAUCUUUUUAUAGGUGCUCAAUGAAUGAUGAAUGUUUAUAUUAGGUGCUGAAUUAUUAGUUGUUAUUUUUAACCUUUACAUACUGUCUCUGACUGACUGAAAUCCUGCACACGUUUUUUCUUAUUCACGCUGAUGGAGGUUAGUUCAAAGUGAAUCUCUUAGAAUUAUUUUGGCAAUAAUAAAGAGACAUUCUUAUAUUAAAAAAAUAUUUAUAUGUGAACUUUUCCCAUUUUGAUCUCAAAUGCAACAUAUUCAUUAUUUGUCUCAAUAAUAGUUUGUAUUUUUUUAAGUAACAUUAAGUUAGAGAUCUGUUUGUUGAGUCAUGUCAUGCAUGUAGGAUAUACCAGUUACUUUACUUCUUAAGUUGAUCAUUGUAUAUAUAGAGCUUUUGUUUUUGGUUUGUAAGUAUAAUCAAGAAUAACCUAUGUUAUAGAAUUAAUUGUCUUGUUAUAGGAGCGCUUUACAUGUAAUUUGUACUUGUAUAUUGUAAAUAUUGUAUUUGUUAUAGUUAAAAGCAAAUCAAUUCACUUUUUAAAUGUUUUAUGGGAUGACCUCCCUUUGUUUUUGUUAUAUAACUUUUUGUUAAUACAUUUGUAGUAGAUAUUACCCACAGUAAGUUUUAGAUACAUCUUGGUGUUCUUCUGUUCCAAUAACUUUUGAUGUCUUUCUUACAAAACUUGAUGUAAAAUUAUUUAUGUAGAUUUAAUUGGCCCUUUUCUUUUCAUAUAUCAUAUCAUUUAAUUAAUUUCGUUAAAAAUUCCUCUAAACAUUCCUAAAAAAAAAAAAUUCAGGAGAGUGCAAUAAAUAUUUACAUAUCAAGUAAAGAUUAUUAUAAUGGCUUUUAGAACUUCUUUAAUCUUGUCUCAUUAGCAUUCUUUAACUGGAAGACAAGAAAAAAAAGAUCUGAUGCUUUUAAACUACGCAAUUUUUCAGUGGACAAAUUUUCAUACCAAUUUUGAGGAACAUUACUGUUCAAAUCACUUUCAUGUUUUUUGUCAAUCAACUUUAUAAAUUUUCUAUUAGCUUCAAAGUAACAUAGAUUAAUUUCAUUCCGUUUCUAAAGAAUCUGGAAAAAAGCAUUGCUUGAAGGAUGUAUGGUGACCUAUAGUUGCUUUUAUCCAUGUCCUUUGGUGUCUGGUGAACAGAUGUCUUACUCAGUGUUUGCAAUCAUACAUUUUGAUUUCUUCCCUUUGUAUUUGCAAUCAUACAUUUUGAUUACUUCCCUUUGUAUUUGCAACAAUACAUUUUGAUUACUUCCCUUUGUAUUUGCAAUCAUACGUUUUGAUUACUUCCCAUUGUAUUUAUGAAACUGCUUACUGAAGGUUUUGUUGUACAUUUUGAUAAUACUAUCCAGAGUGCAUUUAAUUUGAAUUUUAAAAUCAAGUCUACUUUCAUUUACUUUUUUUUUGUAAUCUUUAUACAUGUAUAUGCUUCUUCCUGUUUUGUUUGGUCCCACAGAGUCAGUAAAACUUGUUAGGAUUAGCACUUAGGCUAGGUCAGGAAACUUGUCUCAUUGGCACUCAAACCACAUUUUCUUAUAACUAUUGAAUAUAAACACUUACAUUUUAUUAUAUCUCUGUAAUUAUAAAGAAGUUGAUCUGUAAAUUCAAAAAUAUAUUAUCACCUCACAGAUUGAGAUAGAGGAAGACUUUGUUAUUAUUAGUUCUGUAGAAUGACUCUUAUGGUCCUAUAUAAUGAUUCAUUGUCUCAUAUGCAAUGAAUGAAGCAGAAUUUAUCACAUAUCUUCUUUUUUCUUGUAAAAAUAGUUCAAGAUGAACAUAUAACUUAGUUCAAAACUUAUUGAAUAUAAAGAUAUAUUGCUUUAAAGCUGUUAACAAAGUAUACAUCUUUAUGGAUAAAUGUUUCCAUUUGGCAUAUGAUAUUGUAUAAACUUUGUCUUCAGUGUUCAGUGACUGCUAAAGAAAACUGUAUAGAUUUUUACACACAAUAUUUUUCAGUUAUUAUGGAUUAAUUGCUUGUCUGUUUGGCAGGGUUUGUCUGACCUUUACCUCCUGUUUUAAGUUCACUAAUAAUGUAAAAUUUUAAUGAUACCUUUUAUGUGAUAAAAAAUUAGGUACUGUUUAUAUUAAGAUGUGGACCAUAAGAGCUAUUGCUACAAUGAUUUAGAUUUAGUAUUUAUAGAAAGGUGUCUAAAUGCUGUGAUACACAUACAUAAUGUUAACAUAUGACGAAAGUCUCUAGAACUAAUAAAUUUUAUCUUACAUACAGUCAUAUUUUUAUUUAUUAUCACUUGGCCAAAACAAACCCCAAUUUUGGGUAAAGAUUGCAUGAAAUGAAAUCAGUCCCUACGGUACUGA
rnacentral:lncRNA from 1 species